GGUGAAGGUCUUUUAAACAACAUGGACGACGGCUAAGGUCAUGCUUUCGGCAAAGUGCUGAUUAAACUUGUAGUGUAAAAAAAAUAUCAGAAACAGAAAAAAUGAAUAGUUCAUCAGUUUCGAAAGUUGGUAGUUUGGUUUUUAAUCGGCGGUUCUCUAAAACAGGAUUACCCCUCCUUAGACUUGCCCAGGAGGAUGAGGUAUCGCAAGUUCCAAGAGAAUCGGGAACGUGGAUAGCAAAGUCGGCCAUUUUAUUGACCUUGCUUGGGACAAGUUUAUCCAUAUUCAGUGCCCGUCAGCUCCAUGAUGACUGUUCAUCGAAAUCAUUCAGAAAAAAAUAAAACCAUAUGGCUAGUUGAUCAAACAUGUCUGUGAUUAAAAUAAACUUGAAACAAGACUUUCAUGAUUAAACCGUUGAGAAAUACAAUAUAGAGGAACAGAAUGGAAUUCAAUCAUCAAGUUGAAUUGCUGUUUAAUAAAUGUAAAACUAUUAACAAUGAAUUAAUUUAUUAAACAAACAAAAACUGUUUACGAGUGUAAUGUAGAAGAAACUUAUCAACAAUGAAUUCAUUUAUAACAAAAACUAUUUAUGAGCGUAAUGUAGAAGAAACUAUCAACCAUGAAUUAAUUUAUUAAACAAGCAAAAACUGUUUUAAGAGCGGAAUGUAGAAAAACAGACUCAAAGUGCCAUUCAGAGAUUGGGGGGGUUGAAAUCGACUAUAUCAUAAUAUUAAUGUGUUAUUCAGAGAUGGGAGGGUUAAAAUCGACUAUAUCAAAGUGCCAUUCAGAGAUGGGGGGGGGGUAAAAUCGAUUAUAUCAAAGGAGCCGUCCCUUUAUUUGGUAUGACAGACUAUUUGUAAAUUGUGCUAUUUACCAAUAAUAUGCUAUAUAUAACAAUGAAUUAAUUCAUUAACAAACAAAAACCGUUUGAAGUGUAAUGUAGAAGGCUGUGCUAAAACAUAUUCAAGGUGCCAUUCAUAGAAGGGGGUUCAAAUUGACUUUAUUCUAGUAAUGAAGGGGUCGUCCCUGGUGUUUUCAAUCAAAUGGGUUAAUUCAUUGUGGAAAACUACAUGUAGUUAAAAAUGUUCAUCUUAGUCCUGUACAAAUAUCCAAAGCUCUGUGGUACACUUUCUCAGAAAUACUAACUUUGUUACGGUAUCACAAGUACAUUUAGUUGGCCAUAAGUCUCCAAAUUCAACACUACCUUGUAAGUGCCUAAAUGAUCCUAUCUACAAUCUAAGCUAUAGUUAAUUAAGCCCAUUAUGCAAAUCCACCGAAAACUUCUGAUUGAUCUGGGCUGAAUUUAGGCAAGCUAUUUGGGCAAAUUCUUCAUAUUUUAGAAUUCAAAAAAGGUUCAUCAAAAGAUUUUAGCGCAGAUUACAGUUGAUGCUGGCUUCUUAACUGGUGUAUUAUACCUGCACAGUCUGCACAGUACAUGGAAUUAAUCUACAGAAUUUGCUGAGGAUUAUCAACAAUUUUAACCAACCAUUUUCUUCAAGAUUUGACUCCUGGCCAUGUUUAUUUUUUGUACCUUGAGUAUUUAAUGUAACAAUUUAAAAGUUUUUGAGAUGUGGUAGUAAGAGGUUUGGGCGUUUUUUAUAGGUCUGCUUAUAAUCGGUCUAAAACAUUAUCCCAAUUCUCAUAAAAAUCUGUUGGGUGGAUGGCCGAAUGGUUAGCAUGUGCGUGCUGUAUCAAACGGUCUGUCAUUGAGUUUUUGAUUCCUCAGUUGUACAUGACACAGAGUAGGGUCGCCUGCCCAACCUCGUGGGUUUUCUCCAGGUCCUCUGGUUUCCUUCCACUGCUAAAGACCCCUACGCACAAGCGAAUUAUUGAAAUAAAAUUGUACCAUGUGUUAGUCCCGAAAUGACCUAGUUUGUGUCGAGUGGACUUUAAACCCCAUUUCUCUGUCUCUUUCACAAAAAUCCACUAGGAUUUUAUCAGACAGAAAUCCACUGAAUUCAAAGAUUUAUAGAAAACAGGACCCACAUCCAGAAGUUUUUCUUGAAUUUUAAUUUCAAUUCUCUUUAAAGAUUUUGGGGUUUAAUGUUGAGUUAGCGCUUGUGCACUGAAUAAUUAGGUCUGUCAUUGAGUCAACUGGCGGGUUUCAUUUCCUUGGUUGUACGUGACAAGGAGUAGGGUAGUCUGUCCAUCCUCGUGGGUUUUCUCUGGGUCCUCCGGUUUUCUCCCACUGUUAACCAUGGUUAUUGAUAUUUCAAUUACUUUCGAACAUCAAUAUAAUACCAUAGAUACUAACUGUAAACAAUGUAGAUAUUUGUUAUUUAGUCCCGGUUCAAAAAUACCAAUCGUGACACGUUGAAUUUGUAUAUCAAUAUCUUAAUACCAGAAUUAUUGUGCAUUAUAUUAAUGUAAAACAGAGACUCAACGAUUUAAAUAUUUCAUAAAUAAUUAAAUAUGCUUCUCAGUAUUUUAAAAUAAGAAUGACGCUAACAAGAUAGUUUAAAGAUACAUUAUGUAAGAUUUAGAUAAAGAGCUGGCCAAUCUUGCUAUAAUAGUUCAAAAAUAGAUAAAUCAAAAUGAAUAUAUUGAAAAUUUCAUUCAAAUUACUUUAUUCUGAGCCAAGUUGUCACUGUUUGUAGUUUUGACAAGAUUAUGUAUUAUAGUAACCACGGUACUGUUAUAUUCGAAGAUAACCUCGUUUCCCCAUUUUUAAAUUAAAUAACUAAAUGGCCGAACCGUUUAAUCCUGUUAAAAUCUCAAGUAUCCAAUGGCAACAAGCAUUGAUUAUGGUCUUCUCAUGUUAAUAAAUGUCUAAUUAAUAGUUUAUAUAACAUUUCUGGCCUAAAGAAAGACCAAUAGGUAGAUUUAUCUCUUACAUCAUGCAUCUUUAAAUCUUUAUUUUGUAGAACUGUAUUACCACUAUCAUAUUUUCCCUUUCAUUUGUAUAUUGGUCAUAUUAUUGUUGUUUUCCUUCGUAUAUUAAAGUUAAAUGUUUUGGUUGUAAUACUAGUUGUUUUAAAUAGAUAAGUGAAUUCCAACUGUUAGCGACCCAUCGUAGAAUUUAAAUGUUGAAAGUAUUUAUUAACUGUUUAAUAAAUUAUUUUUGAGCUUUAA